rnacentral:rRNA from 1 species
UGAAAGGGACCGACCUUCGGGAGCCUAUACAGGUGUUGCAUGGCUGUCGUCAGCUCGUGUCGUGAGAUGUUCGGUUAAGUCCGCUAACGAGCGCAACCCUCGUCGUAUGUUAUAUGUGUCAUACGAGACUGCCGGUAAAAAGCCGGAGGAAGGUGAGGAUGAUGUCAAGUCAGCAUGACCUUUAUAUCCCGGGCUACACACACGCUACAAUGGUCUGUACAAUGGGUAGCCAAGCCGCGAGGCGGAGCCAAUCCUGAAAGCAGGCCUCAGUUCAGAUUGCAGUCUGCAACUCGACUGCAUGAAGCCGGAGUUGCUAGUAACCGCAGGUCAGCAAUACUGCGGUGAAUACGUUCCCGGGCCUU